UCACCAGGCUCUUACCGAUGUUCCUGCACAUACGGGCACAUCUUAGCUGGAGAUGGACACAGCUGCUUUUCAGAGUGUCCACCUGGAUACAGGAAACAAACAACCACACCUCCUGAGAAUUCAACUAAUCAAACACUGAAGGACGAAUGUGUAGAUAUAAAUGAAUGCCUCGAAGAUGUGUGUGAGUGGCAGUGUAUUAACCUGCCAGGCUCCCACCGCUGUAUCUGCCCGCGUGGAUACACACUCCAAAGAGAUGGGCUACACUGCAAAGACAUUAAUGAGUGCAAACGGAAGAACGGAGGCUGCUCCCAUCUGUGUGUGAACCGAAGAGGAGGGUAUAAAUGUGCUUGCCCACCCUCCCAUCGUCUGUCCUCAUACAGCUGGAAGAAAUGUUUGCCAAGGACAACAGAGGACA